rnacentral:rRNA from 1 species
GUGUCAGCAGCCGCGGUAAUACGGAGGGUGCAAGCGUUGUUCGGAUUCACUGGGCGUAAAGCGCGUGUAGGCGGGAUUGCAAGUCAGGUGUGAAAGCCUUCUGCUCAACGGAAGAAGUGCAUCUGAAACUGUAAUCCUAGAGUAUGGGAGAGGAGAGUGGAAUUCCCGGUGUAGAGGUGAAAUUCGUAGAUAUCGGGAGGAACACCAGUGGCGAAGGCGGCUCUCUGGACCAAUACUGACGCUGAGACGCGAAAGCGUGGGGAGCAAACAGGAUUAGAUACCCUGGUAGUCCACGCCGUAAACGGUGAGAACUAGGUGUAGCGGGUAUUGACCCCUGCUGUGCCGCAGCUAACGCAUUAAGUUCUCCGCCUGGGGAGUACGGCCGCAAGGCUGAAACUUAAAUGAAUUGGCGGGG